AACGAGCGUUGAGUCAAAUAAAACGAGCAUCAGAAAAUGACAGAAAUCAUGCGUCCAGCUUCAAUAAUGUAUCAUUAAUUUGAAACAGGAACCCAGAAUAUUUGUCACAAGCAUUGAUUAAAACAAUGAUGACAAUAAUCAAGCGAAAAACGACUUAAAUUCUGGACCUUUGGGCAGUGACGGGCUUGUUAUGUAGUUUUCUAAGAUGUUUAUUUAUGUAAAUGCUGUGUGUGUGCUGCGGGUGAUGAACGUUACUGCCCCUUGAAAAGUCCGUUGGAGUUGCGUGAGUUACCAUGGAAACGAGGCUGAACAACAUGAAGCGAAAAGUCCGUGUGGUUUUCUUCACUUUUUCAGUGUUUCGUCCCUCAAAUUACAAAAAUAAUAUACACAACUGUGGUUGACACCUAAUUGAUACGAUUUUGUUGAAUAUUUACCUCAUUGAAAUGGAUUGGUUCUUCGAGAAAAGUCCGUUAGCAUGUCGCUAACGCUAUAGUUUUAACGCUUGUUUAUGAAAGUUUGGGCGAUUGAGAACAUCUAAAUGUGUCGAUGGGAGGUUUUAAAAGCGUUGUAAAGGGUGUCAAUGCAUUAUUGGAAGUAGGUUAAUUUGUUUAUCCUAAUAUGCGAUGUACUCACAGUCUAUGGAUGUACUAGUUACGGCAGUAGCAACUUAACAUAACAGGGGACGUCAAAAUUAAAGUAUUACAAUGUUAUGUGGCGGCAGUGGCUCAGUGGUUCAUGUAGGUUGGUGUUCAAUCCCCGGCUCCACCGGACCAAGUGUCGAGGUGUCCUUGAGCAAGACACCUAACCCCAGCUGCUCCCGACGAGCUGGAUGGCGCCUUGCAUGGCUGACUGACACCGCCGUCGGUGUAUGAAUGUGAGUGACAAAAUAACUCCUCUAUAAUAAAAAUAAGCUCAAGAUUUCAGCAUUUUCGAAGGGAGCUGCUGACAGAGAUGUUGAAAAUUCAGAUUUGUUCAUGCUGAUGGCCAUGCAGCAGAGUUCAAGCAAACCUGUCAGAAAACAUCUCUAAGGGGCUAUGUAUGAACCAUAUGGCUAGUAAGUACGACCUCAAACUUAAACACUACUGUUCAAAAGGCUGUGAUUGAUUUAUUUGACAAAAAUACAGUGAAAACAGAAAUGUUGUGAAAUUAUCACACUUUAGAUGAGCUGUUUUCUUUGUGAAUAUGCAGUUAAAGGGGUAUUAUGUAGCUUAUUAAAUAAAAAAAUCUUUAAGAUAGAGUUUUCAUUUGUAUAUUUAUGAGCCAACCAUAAUGUAAUAGAAAGAAUAACACCUUGACUGUCCUCCACGGUUGUCGCUAUCAGCCUGUAGGCUCUAUUGUGUGUGUAGGAGUCGGGUCCAAAUUGGUGCGAAAAUUGAAAAUGUGACGUCAUGCGCGUGCUCGUCUACUUGGGCAUUCCAUAUAGACGCGUACACCAGCCAUUAGUAAACAGCGGCAAUCGUUAGCAUGUUUCAAAGGGACUCUGUAGACGGGAAGAAGCGACCAACCUCCAGCACGAUCCAGACACCCACGCAAACUCCUCGUAAGUUUAAAAAAAUCCUUACCUAGUGCGACCAAAAUAGAGCGUGACCGGCAUCGGGGCAAAGAUACAAGAGUAAACAUCGGAUUGGCAUUUGAUUCUUGGAGGGAGCUCCAGUCAGCGCUGGGUAUGAACACAGACCCCGAGCUGGCUUUCUCUUUACUGCAAAGGUAAGAAAUAGUUACAGGGCUUUAUUGUUUUUGUGGUGUAACGCUAAAGAUAGCAUUGUUUUUGUGGUGUAAUGCUAACAAUAGCAUGUAGCACAGGACCGUUUCAAAAGUUACUGUCUUAUAUGAAUUAUCUUUAUUCAGAACACGCGUGCAUUAAGAUUGUGAGUGUCGGGAGUAGAGCUGGGGUAAACGGUUAUUUUUUUAAACGAUUAAUCGGGCGACUAUUUUAUCGAUUAGUCGACUAGUCUAAUGACUAAUUGGCCGAUUAAUCUAACGAUUCGUUUUCUGUUUUUCGAUUAAUAAAAACCAUAAUGUAUCUUGAAUAAAA